rnacentral:tRNA from 1 species
GGGGAUUUAGCUCAGUGGUAGAGCGCUUGCCUAGCAAGCACAAGGCCCUGAGUUUGAUCCUCAGCUCUG